GGGGCGGCACCGGCCUGGUGGCCGAUCCGGUCUUCAAAACCGGCAGGGCGCGGCAACCCCGCGCUUGGAAGGUUCGAUUCCUUCGCCGCCUC
rnacentral:tRNA from 1 species